rnacentral:rRNA from 1 species
UACGUAGGGUGCAAGCGUUGUCCGGAAUUAUUGGGCGUAAAGAGCGUGUAGGCGGCUCGGUUAGUCCGCUGUGAAAGUCCAGGGCUCAACCCUGGAAUGCCGGUGGAUACUGUCGGGCUAGAGUCCGGAAGGGGCGAGUGGAAUUCCUGGUGUAGCGGUGAAAUGCGCAGAUAUCAGGAGGAACACCAAUGGCGAAGGCAGCUCGCUGGGACGGUACUGACGCUGAGGCGCGAAAGCGUGGGGAGCGAACAGG